UACAGAGGUCCCAAGCGUUGUUCGGAUUCACUGGGCGUAAAGGGUGCGUAGGUGGUGAGGUAAGUCGGAUGUGAAAUCUCCAGGCUCAACCUGGAAAUGGCAUUGGAAACUACCUUGCUAGAGGGUUUGAGGGGGGACUGGAAUACUUGGUGUAGCAGUGAAAUGCGUAGAUAUCAAGUGGAACACCAGUGGCGAAGGCGGGUCUCUGGACAGUUCCUGACACUGAGGCACGAAGGCCAGGGGAGCAAACGGG
rnacentral:rRNA from 1 species